GAGAGCCGUGGGAUUGGUGACUAUCCAGCACGGUUUGGAGAGCACUUUUAGUCUUUGUUGGUGAAUGGAAGCCCCCUAUCAAGCAAAAAAAGAAACGGAUCUUUCUACGGUGGGGUCACUAUUGACUCCAU
rnacentral:ncRNA from 1 species